GACGAACGCUGGCGGCGUGCUUAACACAUGCAAGUGGAGCGACGAAACCGGGCUUGCCCGGUGGCAGAGCCGCGAACGGGUGAGUAACACGUGGGUAACCUGCCCCGAUGAUUGGGACAACUCCGGGAAACCGGAGCUAAUACCAAAUGUGCUCUUUCUCUCUAAGGAGAUUGAGGAAAGGAAGCUUCGGCCUCCGCAUCGGGAUGGGCCCGCGGCCCAUUAGCUUGUUGGUGGGGUAACGGCCUACCAAGGCGACGAUGGGUAGCUGGUCUGAGAGGACGAUCAGCCACACUGGGACUGAGACACGGCCCAGACUCCUACGGGAGGCAGCAGUGGGGAAUCUUGCGCAAUGGGCGAAAGCCUGACGCAGCAACGCCGCGUGGGGGAAGAAGGCCUUCGGGUUGUAAACCCCUUUCAGUUGGGACGAAGCUUCUCCGGUGAAUAGCCGGAUGGAGUGACGGUACCUUCACAAGAAGCACCGGCUAACUACGUGCCAGCCGCCGCGGUAACAC
rnacentral:rRNA from 1 species